GGCAUAUACUUAGUGGCGGACGGGUGAGGUAACGCGUGGGCAACCUAGCCUUAUACCGGGGGACAACAGCUGGAAACGGCUGCUAAUACCGCAUAAGCGCACGAAGAGGCAUCGUCUUAGGUGUGAAAAACUCCGGUGGUAUAAGAUGGACCCGCGUCUGAUUAGCCAGUUGGCGGUGUAACGGACCACCAAAGCGACGAUCAGUAGCCGGCCUGAGAGGGCAAACGGCCACAUUGGGACUGAGACACGGCCCAAACUCCUACGGGAGGCAGCAGUGGGGAAUAUUGCACAAUGGGGGAAACCCUGAUGCAGCGACGCCGCGUGAGUGAAGAAGUAUUUCGGUAUGUAAAGCUCUAUCAGCAGGAAAGAAAAUGACGGUACCUGACUAAGAAGCCCCGGCUAACUACGUGCCAGCCGCCGC
rnacentral:rRNA from 1 species